AUGGCAGUGCAAGAAGGUGGUAUUUUCGCCAACUUGAGUGGGUUUUCAAACGUCGUGCCGGAGACGGAUUGCGUGGAGGUAGUCAACCUUUGGAACACUCGUCACGAUUCUCGAUCGGUCGUCGCUCCUAUCUUAGUAGAAAUUGGAGAGCUUGCUGGUAGUUUAAAUUCUUUUGCUAUUCAUCACGUUGUAAGAUCAGCCAACGGUCCCGCUCAUAUCUGUGCCAAGCAUGCUUGCACGAUUAACAUAACCGAAAGUUGGAUUAACAAUGUACCUAACUUCCUGACCAGCAGCAUGUUGGUGGACCGCUCGGCGAACGCUUUUAUUCAAUAA
rnacentral:rRNA from 1 species